rnacentral:misc_RNA from 1 species
UUAAUUAUCUAUUCCGUACUU